GACGUAGGGCGCGAGCGUUGUCCGGAUUUAUUGGGCGUAAAGAGCUCGUAGGCGGCUUGUCGCGUCGAAUGUGAAAACUCGGGGCUCAACUCCGAGCUUGCAUUCGCUACGGGCAGGCUAGAGUUCGGUAGGGGAGACUGGAAUUCCUGGUGUAGCGGUGAAAUGCGCAGAUAUCAGGAGGAACACCGGUGGCGAAGGCGGGUCUCUGGGCCGAUACUGACGCUGAGGAGCGAAAGCGUGGGGAGCGAACAGG
rnacentral:rRNA from 1 species